GCUUGUCUCAAAGAUUAAGCCAUGCAUGUCUAAGUACAAGCCUCAGUAAGGUGAAACCGCGAAUGGCUCAUUAAAUCACACCUAAUCUACUGGAAAGUUACUAGUUACUUGGAUAACUGAGGUAAUUCUUGAGCUAAUACAUGCGAAAAAUCUCGACUCACGGAGAGAUGCUUUUAUUAGACCAAAACCAAUGGGAUCGCAAGAUCCCUUUGUAUGGUGACUCUGGAUAACUUUGUGCUGAUCGCAUGGCCUAGAGCCGGCGACGUAUCUUUCAAGUGUCUGCCCUAUCAACUUUCGAUGGUAAGCGAUUUGCCUACCAUGGUUGUAACGGGUAACGGGGAAUCAGGGUUCGAUUCCGGAGAGGGAGCAUGAGAAAUGGCUACCACAUCUAAGGAAGGCAGCAGG
rnacentral:rRNA from 1 species